rnacentral:rRNA from 1 species
AUUGAACGCUGGCGGCAGGCCUAACACAUGCAAGUCGAGCGGAUGAAGGGGGCUUGCUCCUGGAUCCAGCGGCGGACGGGUGAGUAAUGCCUAGGAAUCUGCCUGGUAGUGGGGGAUAACGUCCGGAAACGGGCGCUAAUACCGCAUACGUCCUGAGGGAGAAAGUGGGGGAUCUUCGGACCUCACGCUAUCAGAUGAGCCUAGGUCGGAUUAGCUAGUUGGUGGGGUAAAGGCCUACCAAGGCGACGAUCCGUAACUGGUCUGAGAGGAUGAUCAGUCACACUGGAACUGAGACACGGUCCAGACUCCUACGGGAGGCAGCAGUGGGGAAUAUUGGACAAUGGGCGAAAGCCUGAUCCAGCCAUGCCGCGUGUGUGAAGAAGGUCUUCGGAUUGUAAAGCACUUUAAGUUGGGAGGAAGGGCAGUAAGUUAAUACCUUGCUGUUUUGACGUUACCAACAGAAUAAGCACCGGCUAACUUCGUG